GCCUUUGUGUGUGUGCGGAGGCUCGGCCGUGUGUGUGUGUGUGUGCCUCUGUCCCUUUAAAAAAACAGCUCGGCGCAAUAUGAUCCCUGCCGUCCUGGCUUCUGUGUGUGUGUGAGAGAAGGGAGCGAGCGAGCUAGAGCGAGAGAGAGGGACGGAGAGAAUAGACGGAACUGUAAGAAAGGAAACCCGAAGACUCGAAUAAACCAAACGGAAUAAUGAACUUAAACCCUCUUCAUGUCGCGAGUCGGCUUUGGAUUUUGAAGAAGACCUUACCGGAGUGACAUCUAAAACUUGGAAGUUGUGUGUGUGAGACGGGAUUAGUGGCUCUUAUUCCGCCGGUUGGUCGGGAAUCUAUCUGCAGACCGACGGGUUCAGUGGCGCUCGUCGGACACCAGGAAAGGAUCGUAUUUACGCCCAUACAUUUAACACAACGGCGUUUCUAUAGAUUGAUAUACCUUUGAUCGCUUUGAGGACGAACGGCGUAGUUCACUUCUUGCGUUUGACGACAUGUGACCUCAGGAGAAGUCAGGAUGAAGUCGGGGAGCUGCAGGGUGGGAGGGAUUUUCUCCCUCCUGGUCCAAUCAAAAUUCUUGUGUAGCUGCAUCAGCGUGAUUGGAGAGCGGCUGUGGUUGGAGAGACCCCAGGGAGAUGACUGACACCCGAAGCUGAGCCCCCGCACUGCUGUCAAUCAAAAACCUGCUGCUACUCCAAAAGGUACGCUGGGUCUGUGUGUGAGUAGAAACUGUGUAGUUUGUAAGUAGAAACUUUGUAGUGUGAGUCAAGACUGUGUAGUGUGUGAGUCGUGACUGUGUAGUGUGUGACGGUGUAGUGUGUUUGUGUGAGUAGACUGUAUGUGUGUAUUGUGUGUGUGAGUAGGCUGUAUGUGUGUAUUGUGUGUGUGUGUGUGAGUAGAUUGUGUAAUGUGUGAGAGACUGUGUAGUGUAUGUGUGUGUAGAGACAAUAGUGUUUGUGUAGAUACAGUCCAGUUUGUUUGUCAUUGUGUGAAAUUAGAUAGAGUUGUGUUGACUGUAGGGUUAAGCGUAAAUUAUAGUCUCUGUGUAUAAGAGGAGAAGUUGAGUGUGUUAGAGAGUGUGUGUGUGUGUGUGUGUGUGUGUGUGUGUGUGUGUGGGCAUGGGCAAAAACCAUCUCAAGAAACCAUUUCCCCCUGUACGGACCGCUUAUUGAUCCAACUGAAUUUCUUUUCGCCCAAAGUUAUAUUCUUGACCUACAUUCUCAACUCUUUCCACAACACAGCCCUAUUUCAAAGUAAUUCACCUCAACUCUCAAAUUUAUUCUGUUAGCCUCUCUUUCUCCGCGGCAUAUAAACCGAAUGUCCAAUAGCAGUUGGUGUCCAAUAGCAGUUGGUGUCCAGGCGUGACUGUUAACGGCGGCGUUGGGGUCGGUACGCGUUGGACACACAGUCUAUCUCUGGUUCACACCAGUGUCUGUUGAACCCAGGCGAGAUAGAAGGAGGCCGAGAGAGACGUGGGGAGAGACAGAGACGGACUAUUGAUCUGUUUUCCCCUCGAACACGACGGAAAAUCUCUGGCUCUUAAUGCAUUACCGUUCUGGCUUUGAUGGAGAUGAUGGAGUAAAAAUAACAUGCAGGGAGGAAGUUCUCCGUCCUCCCGACGCCACUAGCGUGCGCCAUAUGUGAGUGUGCGUGACUGAUGCCUCGCCAGACACUCCUUUGUUCUUGCUCCCCUUUUGUUUCUUAUUAUAAUAACGCUGAAACCUGCCGUUUAUGUUUCUCCUAUCUGACACCUUGGGUGCUUUGUUACCCUGCGUGUAUGUGUGGUUGGGGGUUUGUAAGCGGGCAUGUCAGGUGUUGAAUGGGUCAGGGGAGGUGUUUGUGUGUAAGGGUGUGGUACAGGGUUUGAGUCCGCCUCUCUGAUGCAUCUGUCUCCCCCAACUCUUUGUUUGACUCCCCUGUGUGUGUGUUUGUGGGUGUUUGUGUGUGUAUGUGUAUACUGUCCAUGGAACCAUUCCUACUACACACUUCCACACCAUUUUUUUUUAUCUCUCUCUCUCUCUCUCCCUCUGCCAACCUCACGCCUGUCUCUCUCCUUACUCCACCUUAAUCUCUCUCACUCUCUACAUCUCUCUCGCUCCCUCCUCCACCCUUACCGGUCUCUUCCUCCCUUUUUAAUCUACCCUUCCACCCGUCUUUGCCCGUCUGUUGCACGACCCCCCUCUCUCGCCUCCAUCAUGCCUGCCCUAAUGAGAUUAAACCCAGAGUCUCCACACACACACACCGAUAACGGAGACGUCUACCGCUCGGUGCGUCCUCGCUUGUGUAGGCGAAAACGCUUCACGUAUAGCUCGCACUCUUGGCAGCAGUCAUACCGGGCAUGCACACACCAUGCACACAUACUGUGUACAACACAGACACACACACACAGUGAGUAAACACACAAACUGUGUGCACACACACGCACACACCAUGUACACAUACACACACACACACACACGUGCACACUAGUACACACUAGUACACACACGUACACACACACACACACACACACACACACACACACACACACACACACACACACACACACACAC
ensembl:lncRNA